UGUGACCACAUUCAGUUGUGUUGGAAGAACAAGACUCGCCUGAACCAUUGAACUCAAGAAAAAAAUAUCAACCAAAGAAGAAUCAGACACAAGAAGGAACAGACUACAACCCCACUGAGAAGAUGAAUGGCCCUUGUGAGAGCCACACACCGAAAAAUGUUAUCCCAACACUGGGUAUCAGAAAGCAUGGAUGAUGGGUGUGAUGACUGUGUCCUUGGAUGCUUGUGCAGGCAUAUCAGUCAUUGCUGAGUAUGAAGUUGCACAGAAACAACAAGCAAAUGGAAUUUUGACACUUUCGCUUCCAAUGCAAUGUGCAACCAUCAGCUCACGAGAUGUGGAAGGCAAGGCAAGUUUAAAAGCCAAAAAUAGUGAUAGUUUAUUAUACAUGAAUCUUUGGAGCUCAUGUCUGCUUUGAAUGGCCUAUAUAGAUCCAGGCUCAGCAUUUUAGUAACUGCAGCCAGUUCAUCCAUCCUUCAUUUGAAACCAUUGAGCAGAUUUUAGAGAAUGACUUCACUCUACUAACACUCUUACCCAUUAUUUCAUUCAGGGUAUUGAGUGAUCAGUGAAAGUUCAGCAGCAUUAUCAUACUUAUAGAUCUGGCAAAUGUCAUGGAGCACAUAUAUGGAUCCUUAACAUGUGCCAUCCAGAGUAAAAACAUUUAUAGUUCUCAUUCUUCAAGUACAUUUUCAGUAUUCAUUGUAAAGUUUGCAUAUAAUUUGCACCUGCCAUAUGUUUUCACUUUAGUGCGUUUCUUUUCCAUAUUUCAGCUGACUUCUCAACAUCUUUACAGGCUAGAUCUUAAGUGGUAAUAUUCUGAAAAAUAAGACAACAUGGGUACGCAUUCAGUGAUGCCUCAGGUGCCAGCCAGGCCAACACUGGAAUGCUUUAGCUGGCUCUGGACAAGUCAGCAGGAGCAAAAGAGCAGUUUAGCUGCAUUAGUGAAACAACCCUUGCUCAGCAUGGUUUGAUGGACCCUGACAGCUAAGUAACUAAAGCCCGGAAAAGCCCCUGCCAAGCUGCCCAGCUGGCUGUUCUGCUCCUUGGCUGGCCAAUUAUUGUGCCAAGAACAUGACUAUUCCUGAGCACCUGCAAGGAUGUAUAUCCACACACCCUCUUUAGCUCAUACCAGUCUGAUAUUGGUUCAUGUAGAUAAUUUCUUUUUCCUAUCAAGUGCUAUUGUUGACUGCCUUUGUAGUGCAAAGAUGCUCACCCAGUUCAUGCUGGAGCACCUUGUGUUUAAGUGGAGUAACAGAAGUCACCACAGAUAAAUAGCAACAGAAUGCAGUCUAACUUCCCCAUUACCUUCCUCUCCAUCUUUAACACUGACUUAAGCCUUCCUUCUUAGUGUUAGAAAUUUCCUGCUGGAAAUUCUCCUUUUGGAAAAUGUUGACUGAACAAAACUGAAGAAUUUUAUGGGAAUUUACCAACCUCAUAGCAAAGGUAACUGCAAAAUUACAUAGAUGUUGCAUUUCAAUGAAAUCAUUGUUUCAUUUUGCCAUUUUGAU